rnacentral:rRNA from 1 species
CCUACGGGAGGCAGCAGUGGGGAAUAUUGGGCAAUGGGCGCAAGCCUGACCCAGCAACGCCGCGUGAAGGAAGAAGGCUUUCGGGUUGUAAACUUCUUUUCUCAGGGACGAAGCAAGUGACGGUACCUGAGGAAUAAGCCACGGCUAACUACGUGCCAGCAGCCGCGGAAAUACGUAGGUGGCAAGCGUUAUCCGGAUUUACUGGGUGUAAAGGGCGUGUAGGUGGGAAAGCAAGUCAGAUGUGAAAACAAUGGGCUCAACCUGUGGACUGCAUUUGAAACUGUUUAUCUUGAGUACUGGAGAGGCAGACGGAAUUCCUAGUGUAGCGGUGAAAUGCGUAGAUAUUAGGAGGAACACCAGUGGCGAAGGCGGUCUGCUGGACAGCAACUGACGCUGAGGCGCGAAAGCGUGGGGAGCAAACAGGAUUAGAUACCCUUGUAGUC